UGAGGAAUAUUGGGCAAUGCCCGCAAGGGUGACCCAGCAACGCCGCGUGGAGGAUGAAUGUCGUAAGAUUGUAAACUCCUGUUAGAGGGGAAGAAUAGUACCGGUUGGACCGGUAUAUGACUGUACCCUCAGAGAAAGCCCCGGCUAACUACGUGCCAGCAGCCGCGGUAAUACGUAGGGGGCAAGCGUUGUCCGGAUUUACUGGGUGUAAAGGGCGCGCAGGCGGGAUAAAAAGUCAGUGGUGAAAUCCUACAGCUUAACUGUAGAACUGCCUUUGAUACUUUUAUUCUUGAGUUCGGGAGAGAGAGACGGAAUUUCAGGUGUAGUGGUGAAAUACGUAGAUAUCUGGAAGAACACCAGUUGCGAAGGCGGUCUCUUGGUCCGACACUGACGCUGAGGCGCGAAAGCGUGGGGAGCAAACA
rnacentral:rRNA from 1 species